UACGUAGGGUGCGAGCGUUAAUCGGAAUUACUGGGCGUAAAGCGUGCGCAGGCGGUUCGUUAAGUUCGAUGUGAAAGCCCCGGGCUUAACCUGGGAAUGGCAUUGGAAACUGGCGAGCUUGAGUGCGGCAGAGGGGGGUGGAAUUCCGCGUGUAGCAGUGAAAUGCGUAGAGAUGCGGAGGAACACCGAUGGCGAAGGCAGCCCCCUGGGUCGACACUGGCGCUCAGGCACGAAAGCGUGGGGAGCAAACAGG
rnacentral:rRNA from 1 species